AGAGUUUGAUCAUGGCUCAGAUUGAACGCUGGCGGCAUGCCUAACACAUGCAAGUCGAACGGUAACAGGCCUUCGGGCGCUGACGAGUGGCGGACGGGUGAGUAGUACGUAGGAAUCUGCCCAGUAGCGGGGGACAACCUGGGGAAACUCAGGCUAAUACCGCAUACGCCCUAUGGGGGAAAGCAGGGGAUCUUCGGACCUUGCACUAUUGGAUGAGCCUACGUCGGAUUAGCUUGUUGGUAGGGUAACGGCCUACCAAGGCGACGAUCCGUAGCUGGUCUGAGAGGACGAUCAGCCACACCGGAACUGAGACACGGUCCGGACUCCUACGGGAGGCAGCAGUGGGGAAUAUUGGACAAUGGGGGCAACCCUGAUCCAGCAAUGCCGCGUGUGUGAAGAAGGCCUGCGGGUUGUAAAGCACUUUCGGUAGGGACGAAAAGCGUAGGGCUAAUAUCCCUGCGUCUUGACUUAACCUAAAGAAGAAGCACCGGCUAACUCCGUGCCAGCAGCCGCGGUAAUACGGAGGGUGCGAGCGUUAAUCGGAAUUACUGGGCGUAAAGCGCGCGUAGGCGGUUACGUAAGUCGGAUGUGAAAGCCCCGGGCUUAACCUGGGAAUUGCAUUCGAUACUGCGUGGCUAGAGUCUGGUAGAGGCUAGUGGAAUUCCAGGUGUAGCGGUGAAAUGCGUAGAUAUCUGGAGGAACAUCAGUGGCGAAGGC
rnacentral:rRNA from 1 species